UAUGACAGUUCUGCUAUUGUAUACCAACACUUAUUUUUUUUAUAGCGUUUGUCAAUUUAAAACGCUAUAAUUGCUAUCGCGGGAAAAUAAAAAAAUUUAGCCGCGUUAAUUAGUUAAGUGUAGGUGCCUUACCAUUGCAGAUCCAAAAUUAAGCGCUAUCAUACAUUGAGGCAAAAAAAAUCAUUUUUGCCGCCAGAUACUUAUUUAAAAAACAUGGUGUCUAAUUUUUUUCAUUUUCCCUCUCAUCUUCGUUUUUUCAUCUUCCCUCUCAUUCUAUUUUCUUUCUCAACCCUCCAAAAAACCUAAACCUUAAAACCCUAAAACCUAAAUCCUAUACCCUAAACUUAAAAAUCAACCCUAAAACUUAGAUAUUUUCUUAUUUUAAUCUUAAAUCUUAAGUUUAAAUAUAUUCGAGUUUUAACCUUUUAAAAAUUUAAUUCCAAAUAUUAAACUAAAUCCAACGGCCAAUAAUGAACAAACUGAAAAUGCGUUUCUUCCUACCCUCCUAUUCUCCUAUCCUCCUAUCCUCCGUAUUCUCUUUUUUUUUUCUGUCUAGCUUCUUCAUCCUUACACAAAAUCACCCCAUAAAAAAAAUCUUUCACAACCACCAUCACCAUAACCUCCGACGCCGCCAUCUCUAUCUCCUCGUUCUCUACCUCCGUCUCUGCGACCAUCAUCUUUAUCUCCACCUCCUCGUUCUCUACCUCCGCCAAUGAACUCUGUCUCAACCGCUCUUUUUAUCUAUCCUCUUCUAAAAGCUUCUUCUUUUCCAGAUGCAUAUUCAUGGUCUUAGUUAACACCAACCGUAUCUCAGGGACGGGGAAGAGGAAGUGGAAUUGAUAAUGGGGCUUGUGGUUAUUCUUGUUCUCGUAGUGUCACAACAUUGAACGGAAGAAGCCGAAUAUGAAGAAGCUGUGCUGGUGGAGAUGGAGCCGAGCAAGAAGAAGAAAAAGAGAAAGAGGGAGAAGACAGAGACGUAAGGAAGAUGAAGAAGAUGGAAGAGGACGACGGUGGCGACAUGACACACGAUGGGAGGAAAGCAGCGGCGUAGAUUAGGUUUAGUUUUGGUUGGUUUAUUAGGUUUGGUUUAGAUAUGGUUAAUUUAAUAAGUCAGGUUUGUGUGUAAAUCAAUGUUAAUAAAUAAACUGAUAUUAGUUGUAAACCAAUUCUUUGUAUAUUGAUUUUAAUUAAUAAAUAAAAUUUAAUUUUUAAUUAUGAAA